AAAUUGAAGAGUUUGAUCAUGGCUCAGGUUGAACGCUGGCGGCAGGCCUAACACAUGCAAGUCGAACGGUAACAGGAAGCAGCUUGCUGCUUCGCUGACGAGUGGCGGACGGGUGAGUAAUGUCUGGGAAACUGCCUGAUGGAGGGGGAUAACUACUGGAAACGGUAGCUAAUACCGCAUAACGUCGCAAGACCAAAGGGGGGGGACCUUCGGGCCUCUUGCCAUCGGAUGUGCCCAGAUGGGAUUAGCUUGUUGGUGGGGUAACGGCUCACC
rnacentral:rRNA from 1 species